rnacentral:misc_RNA from 1 species
UACGUAGGUGGCAAGCGUUAAUCGGAAUUACUGGGCGUAAAGCGCGCGUAGGUGGUUUGUUAAGUUGGAUGUGAAAUCCCCGGGCUCAACCUGGGAACUGCAUCCAAAACUGGCAAGCUAGAGUAUGGAAGAGGGUGGUGGAAUUUCCUGUGUAGCGGUGAAAUGCGUAGAUAUAGGAAGGAACACCAGUGGCGAAGGCGACCACCUGGGCUACUACUGACACUGAGGUGCGAAAGCGUGGGGAGUAAACAGG